rnacentral:tRNA from 1 species
GGAGAGGUGACCGAGAGGCUGAAGGUGAUCGCCUGCUAAGCGAUUGUACGCCUACAAAGUGUACCGUGGGUUCGAAUCCCACCCUCUCCG